rnacentral:rRNA from 1 species
GUAACGGCGAGUGAAGCGGCAACAGCUCAAAUUUGAAAUCUGGCCCCGUCGGGGUCCGAGUUGUAAUUUGUAGAGAGUGUUUCGGGCGAGACCACGGUCUAAGUCUAUUGGAACAUGGCGUCAUAGAGGGUGAGAAUCCCGUAUGUGACCGUGGCUCGAGCCCAUGUGAAGCCUCUUCGACGAGUCGAGUUGUUUGGGAAUGCAGCUCAAAAUGGGUGGUAAAUUUCAUCUAAAGCUAAAUACUGGCUGGAGACCGAUAGCGCACAAGUAGAGUGAUCGAAAGAUGAAAAGCACUUUGGAAAGAGAGUCAAAAAGUACGUGAAAUUGUUGAAAGGGAAGCGCUUGCAACCAGACCUGUCCGUAGGUGAUCAGCCGCUGUUCUCAGUGGUGCACUCGCUCUGCGAUCAGGCCAGCAUCGGUUCCGGCGGUCGGAUAAAGGCCUUGGGAAUGUAGCUCCCUUCGGGGAGUCUUAUAGCCCUCGGUGCAAUGCGGCCAGCCGGGACCGAGGACCGCGCUUCGGCUAGGAUGCUGGCGUAAUGGUUGUAAGCGACCCGUCUUGAAACACGGACCAAGGAGUCUAACAUCUAUGCGAGUGUUUGGGUGUUAAACCCAUGCGCGGAAUGAAAGUGAACGGAGGUGAGAACCCUUUAGGGCGCAUCAUCGACCGAUCCAGAUGUCUUCGGAUGGAUUUGAGUAUGAGCAUAGCUGUUGGGACCCGAAAGAUGGUGAACUAUGCCUGAAUAGGGUGAAGCCAGAGGAAACUCUGGUGGAGGCUCGCAGCGGUUCUGACGUGCAAAUCGAUCGUCAAAUUUG